rnacentral:rRNA from 1 species
CCUACGGGGGGCAGCAGUGAGGAAUAUUGGUCAAUGGACGCAAGACUGAACCAGCCAUGCCGCGUGCAGGAUGACGGCUCUAUGAGUUGUAAACUGCUUUUGUACGAGGGUAAACUCAGAUACGCGUAUCUGUCUGAAAGUAUCGUACGAAUAAGGAUCGGCUAACUCCGUGCCAGCAGCCGCGGUAAUACGGAGGAUUCAAGCGUUAUCCGGAUUUAUUGGGUUUAAAGGGUGCGUAGGCGGUCGGAUAAGUUAGAGGUGAAAUUCCGAGGCUCAACUUUGGAAUUGCGUCGGAUACUGUUCGGCUAGAGAGUAGUUGAGGUAGGCGGAAUGUAUGGUGUAGCGGUGAAAUGCUUAGAGAUC